rfam:Parabacteroides sp. YL27, complete genome.
UGCGCCCGGGUAAGUCCUACACGACCAGCUCCCCGGGAACUCCGCCAGGCCUUGACCGGAGCAACGGUACCGGGUUGUAGCGGUGCGAUGUAGUCAGCUUACCCUUUU